UAUGUGUCAAUUUAAACUUAUUUGCAGGUGCGAUUAUGUGGACUCUUGAGUUUUGACCAGAUCUAAACUUAUUCCAGAUUUCGGACUAGUGAAGUUUUCCACCCUGCAACUGUGUAGAUAUGCUGGAAAAGCAAAGAAAAGGCACACCAAGUAAUUAAGGUGUAAUCCUUGUCAUUUUACUGGGCAGGUGCAAUCAUACUCUUUAAAAUGCCGACAUUGCGAGAGUAAAAUAAAGUAUGUUAGGAAUAUUGUUCUUGAAUUGAUUCAGUAAAAAAAUCCUAGUUUAACUCAUGCUUUUGUGUUAAACGACAUACACUCAUAUUAAGGAUUGACGUUCUCAUUUAUCGUAAUGUACAAAUGAUGAGUGUACAAUGGCUACUAAGGGUGUAUAGGUCUAAUUAACAGAUCACAGAAAGGAGAGGAGGAAGCUGAGCUCCGCUCUUUCUUCUGUCUAGGAGAAGUUUCUUUUUCCUUUUUAAAGACUGAACCUUAUAUUGGGUUUGUAGGGAAAAUUUCUCUGCCUCUAUUGAUCGUAUCCUAUUCAGUAGUAUACUACUAGUACCGUGGCAUACCAAUUAUUUGGACAGAUCAAAAGGCAAGUUAAAGAUCAGUUAGAUAAAUGCUACUGUCCUCACACAUCUCACAUCUCAUUUGGCUUCCUACAUACCUGAACACACAUUUAUGCAGUCACACAUCUCACCUUGAUUAGUUUGCAAAUUUUGCUUGGAUAGGUACUAUAUACAGUUGUCUUCUCUAACUUGUUAUACUCGUUCAUUGAAUUUACAGUGUUUGAAUCCUCCAGAGAAUAGAAAGAGGACAUUAGCUAGUGUGAAAAAUGACAACACAACUUGGACUUGCUUCUAUCAACUUGAAUGCCGAGAUCCAAUCAUCACAAGCAUCUUCAUCUGUAACAAACAUCAAUCCUGUGAGCGUUAGUUCAAGAGCCUGUAUUCUAUGGUGUAGUAAAAAGAUAUACGAGAAGUUGUUCCCACUGCUCCUACAAGAAGAUUAAGUUGAAGAAGAAAAUUUCUUGUUCUGGCUGAUGAUUAUUGCCAUUCAAUUUACCCGUAUUUUUUAUUCCAUAUAAUUGUUAUGGCUCUGGUGCUUAAUUUCCACUGGAUUUCUUGUUGUUUUUAAAAGAUAUAUGCUAUACAUGUCUCUUCCAGUGUCUUUUGUGGAUGCAUUUCUUAAAUGAACUAUUUUUGUUAUGAUGGCAUCUCUUAG
rnacentral:lncRNA from 1 species